AGGCCGGGUCAACUCUCGAACAAAGUUUGGUUAUACCUACGGGGGCUAGACCUGUGGUGUCAUCAUCCAUACGGUUCUACCGUCUGGUAGUUGUAGCAAUAUUAUUAUCGUUAGUAGCUCACGCCUGACAUAAUAUUUUGAUAAAUCUAAUACAUUUUUAGAUUUAAAUAUGACUUUAAUAACUGAAUAAAUACUUUUCUUCUACAAAAAUAUAGAGAGACACUCUCGUUGAAUAUUGUUUUAGUAACGUAUAUGUAAGAUUUUCUAAACGAAGUGUGGCAACCCCAAUUACUUAAUAAAAAAUAAAUAUGUUAUAAAAUGAAAAUGGCGUCAUUUCACCAAAUAAAACACGAAUUCACGAAUAAUAAAAUAAAUGUUUGCCACGGCCUGUUAAUAUUUAUGAAGACCUCUUCAUGGAUUGGAUUUAAGCAACCUGCUGUGUAAUAUCCUCGCCAUUCUUGAUGUUGAGAAGAUCUAUAAAUCUUUUGCGUUUCAUCUGAGUGUUGUGGUUUUUCAUUAUGUUAAAAAUAAGACUUUGUUAGUUCAAGUGUCUCUAUAACUAUGAAGAAAAACAAAAGAAAAUGCUUUGAGUGUGGUUCUUCGCCUGCCGAUGAUCCAGAGAAGACCCUACAGAGAUUACAGAAAUUUGAUUCUACAAAUUUAGUCUCCGUAAUGUCCAGAUAAUCAAUGAUUAGACUAUUGGACUUUUAGAAUAAAUUUUACAUUGAACUAUGAAUGGUUUGUCAUCUACAUUUUUAAAAAAGACGAGAUGUUUUGCCUGUAAGAACAAGAGAGAGAGAGAAUAAGAAGCAAUCCUGCUUCUUCACAUGAAUUUCACAUGAAUUUUACCCGCAUGACGACGGUUUUUAAUAUAAAAAAUAUUUACACAAUGUCUCAAAAAGCAAUCAAAGCUUUCAAAAAUAAACAAUGUUCGCAGAAGUUCAGUACCAACAAACUCACAAAAAAUGAGCCCAAAAUUUAGCAUUACUUGCAAGCCAGACUAAGAAAUUUCAAGAAGAUAAUUUAAAAGAAGACAAUAGAAUAAAAUAAUAUUAACACACAAUGCUUAGCAAAUAUAGCAUUAACAGAUGGAAACCAGGCAAUAGGUGUAGCAAAAUAGAAGAUGAAGGUCUAGCUGUGCCAGUCAGUGCUGAGCCACACAGUUGCUGCUGGCAUGUUUGCAAAAUAGCACAAGGUGUAGGAAAAUAGAAGAUGAAGGUCUAGCUGUGCCAGUCAGUGCUGAGCCACACAGUUGCUGCUGGCAUGUUUGCAAAAUAGCACAAGGUGUAGCAAAAUAGAAGAUGAAGGUCUAGCUGUGCCAGUCAGUGCUGAGCCACACAGUUGCUGCUGGCAUGUUUGCAAAAUAGCACAAGGUGUAGGAAAAUAGAAGAUGAAGGUCUAGCUGUGCCAGUCAGUGCUGAGCCACACAGUUGCUGCUGGCAUGUUUGCAAAAUAGCACAAGGUGCUGUAAAAUGAAGAUAUAUUGUUAAAUAUCAUGAGAUAGAAAUAAAAGAUGAAGAUCUAGCUGUACCCGUCCCGAGCCACACUACUGCAGCCACGUUGCUGCUGGCAUUUUUGCAAAAUAGCACAAGGUCACAACAAUUGAUGUAACAAAUAUAAUCAAUGGACCAGGCACCUGCACCAUGAUUCUUUGGAAUACUAAAAUUCGUCUCUUUAUGUCUUACUUACUUACGUACUUCUCAUAAUGAAAAAUGUCACGUUUUUAUGAAAGAAAUAAUGGAAUCAAAUAAUAAAUAAAACAAGCAUAUGCUGGAAGUCCUCAGAAACAGCUCCGACUUUGAGGAUUUUUUUUAUGUUAUUUAAAAUCAGAAAUGUUUUGGUGGACGAAAUUAUUUAAAUUGUUAAAAAAUAUCUAUGCUAUUUAUACAUAUUUUUUUUUAAAUACAACCGACUUUAAAAAUACAAACUUAUGCAGAAAACUAACAAACGAAAGAAAAUAUUAUAAUAUUUUCUAUCUAUUGAUCACUUUGAAGGCGGUGCCAAUGGUCCAAUUAAUGGGCCGACAAUUAGUUAUCUAUUGUUUACUAGCUAUAGGGCUCGAAUUGCUUUUUCAUAUCUUUAAAAGACUAUCUUCGGAAUGAACCCUUUAUAAUAAAAAAGUAUUAUCAAAAUCGGACCACUCAAUAAAAAGUUAUACUUGGUUGUAUACUAAAAUUAAUGGUUAAACAAUCAAUCAUCCCCUGUUUUCGUAAUGUAAAACCAAGAAUAACUGUUAACAUGAGUAGUCCGAUUUUGAUAAUUCUUUUGAUUGAUCAUUCUUGAUUGUUUUAGUUUAAAACCAAGCAUGUCUUCGAAUUCCGAUUUGAAUAACUUUGUUUUAAAUAGAAAGGGUAUAUUCCGACAAUGGUCCCAAAUCAUUAUAAAUUUAAAAAAAACGAAGAUGACUGGUUGUUUUCCCAUUAAUUGUAUUGUAAAACUAUGCGUAACGAAGUGAUCCGAUUUCGUAAAUUCUUUAUAGAUUGUAAAGGUAUUUUGAUUGUAAAGCUCCCAUAUAAAUUUUAAAAAACAAUUCCAAUCCUAAAUGUGCGAUUGAUUGUUUUCUCAUUCAUUUUAAUGUAAAACCAAGCAUAACUUUUUAUUGGGUGGUUCGAUUUUGAUUAUUCUUUUUUUGAUAGAAAGGGUAUAUUCCUAAAAGUCUCAUAAAAUGUUGGAAAACAAUUUCAAACCUAAUAGUAGGAAAAUAGAAGAUGAUUAAUUGUUUUCCCAUUUAUUGUAAUGUUAAGCUAUGCGUAACUUUUUACUGAGUGGACCGAUUUUGAAAAUUCCUUACUUUUUGUAAAGGGUUUAUUUCGAAGUAGGUCCCAUAUAAAUUUCGGAAAACAAUUCGAAUCCUUAAGGUGGAAAAAAACUGUACGAUUGGUUGCCUACCCAUUAAUUGUACAAUUGGCACCGGCUUCAAAGUAAUCAGUAGAUAUAAAAUAUUAUAAUGUUUUCUUCAGCUUAUUAGUUUACUGCAUAACUUUGUGUUUUUGAAGUCGGUAGUGUUUAUUUUUUAAUUAUUUAUUAUAUAAAUAGCAUAACUAUUGUUAAAUAGUAUAAAUCGUUCCAUCCUCACUCCAAAAGGUUUCUGAUUUCAAAUAAUAUGAAGAAACAAACUGAACAAAAAAAAUCAUCAAAAUCAGAGCUGUUUCUGAGGAGGUAGAGGGUAAAUGCUCUAUUGACUCGCCUAAAAGUAAUAUUAUGUUAUCGCAUUAGGUUGUAAAGUUUGGCUAAUGAAAGUAGAGACUGAAAUUGCCCGCCAAAUUUAAAAAUCAUAUAAACAAAUUAAAAAAACAUGCGUUUUCAUAAUUUAUUUAAAUUAGUUUUUCUUUGUGAAUACAUUAUUACCUAUACUAUAAGUGUUAAACUCAGUUAUUCCAAUAUUUGCACUAUAAUUUUGAGAAUUUACUCCGAUUUUUUAAAAUUUGGCGGGUGAUUUCAGUUUCUACUUUCAUUAGCCAAAUUCUAAUAAUUUUAUUGUUUAUGAAAUUUAUACUAAUUAGAAAGAGGAAGAAUUUGAUUAUUUGUUUGUUUGCAUUGAAUAGGCUCUUCAUCUCUUCAUGGAUUAGGCCAUAAUUGUUAUCUCUGUAUUCCCACGGGAACGAGAACUACACUGGUGAAACUGCGUGACGUUUGCAUAGUUUAUCAUAUGUAUAAAUAUCCCGACAAUCUAUAUUUUUAUGUAUGAAUUGGUUAAGUUAUAAUUGACUUGAUUUUCCCAAAUAUCUCAGUGAAGUCAAAUACCCAAUUGAUGCAUAGAUAUAUUUUUAGUUUGGUUUUCAUUUUACUUUAAAGAUAAAAUUUAGUUUUAGAAGCAAAAUGAAUAUAUGUAGAUUACAUUUUAGGUGCUGAUGUUUACUUAG